rnacentral:rRNA from 1 species
GACGAACGCUGGCGGCGUGCCUAAUACAUGCAAGUAGAACGCUGAAGGAGGAGCUUGCUUCUCCGGAUGAGUUGCGAACGGGUGAGUAACGCGUAGGUAACCUGCCUGGUAGCGGGGGAUAACUAUUGGAAACGAUAGCUAAUACCGCAUAACAGUAGAUAUCGCAUGAUAUCUGCUUGAAAGGUGCAAUUGCAUCACUACCAGAUGGACCUGCGUUGUAUUAGCUAGUUGGUGAGGUAACGGCUCACCAAGGCGACGAUACAUAGCCGACCUGAGAGGGUGAUCGGCCACACUGGGACUGAGACACGGCCCAGACUCCUACGGGAGGCAGCAGUAGGGAAUCUUCGGCAAUGGACGGAAGUCUGACCGAGCAACGCCGCGUGAGUGAAGAAGGUUUUCGGAUCGUAAAGCUCUGUUGUAAGAGAAGAACGAGUGCGAGAGUGGAAAGUUCACACUGUGACGGUAUCUUACCAGAAAGGGACGGCUAACUACGU